AUACGGAGGAUCCGAGCGUUAUCCGGAUUUAUUGGGUUUAAAGGGUGCGCAGGCGGCCAUUUAAGUCAGCGGUUAAAUCGUGGGGCUCAACCCCAUUCUGCCGUUGAUACUGGGUGGCUUGAUUGCGGUCGAGGUUGGCGGACUUCGUUGUGUAGCGGUGAAAUGCAUAGAUAUGACGAAGAACACCGAUUGCGUAGGCAGCUGACCAGACCGCAAAUGACGCUCAUGCACAAAAGUGCGGGGAUCGAACAGGAUUAGAUACCCUGGUAGUCCGCACAGUAAACGAUGAAUACUUGUUUUCGGCGAUAUAAUGUCGGAGGCAAAGCGAAAGCGAUAAGUAUUCCACCUGGGGAGUACGCCGGCAACGGUGAAACUCAAAUGAAUUGACGGGG
rnacentral:rRNA from 1 species